GACGAACGCUGGCGGCGUGCCUAACACAUGCAAGUCGAGCGAACAGACGAGGCGUUUGUUCCUUUGACGUUAGGGGCGCGCGGGUGAGUCACAUGUGGAUAAUCCACUUAUCAGACUGGUAUCAUUUCGGGAAACCGGCUCUUAUACCGGAUAAUAUAUUGCACCGUAUGGUUCAAUAGUGAAAGUCGGCUUUGCUGUCUCGUAUAGCUGGAUCUGGGCCGGAUUAGCUUGUUGGUAAGGUAACGGCUUAUCACGGGGAGGAGGCGUAGACGAAGUGGGGGGGGGAUAGGCGACACUGGAGGUGAGACACGGUCCAGACUCCUACGGGAGGCAGCAGUAGGGAAUCGUACGCAACGGGCGAAAGCUUGACGGAGCAAGGGCGCGUGAGUGAUGAAGGUCUUCGGAUCGUGAAGCUCUGUUAUGGGGGAAGAACAAAUGUGUAAGUAGAUGUGCACGUAUUGACGGUACCUAAUCAGAAAGCCACGGCUAACUACGUG
rnacentral:rRNA from 1 species